rnacentral:lncRNA from 1 species
UUAUAUUACAUUGUUACGUUUAAGUCAUUUACGUUAUUGUUUUGUUACGAAGUGGUCACUCUACUAUUAAGCUCCACUAAGACAGUCUUACGUGGCAUUUCAAAUUAAAUUUAUUUAAUUAAAAAUUUAUUUUCAUCCCAGUAAUUUGACAUCCAAAUUGGCAUUUAAAACUCAUUUGGACUGCCAAGUAGGACUGUUGUUAGGGAGAUAACGUAAUUUAACAGUAGAGUUGUAACACCCCUUAACCCUGAACCGUCGCCGGAACAGGGUUACGAGGCAUUACCGGACGUAUCAAACAAUUUACAGCAAAUCUGUCCAAUUGUGUAGCAGUUACUAAAUUACUUAUAAUUCGAGCUACGGAACUCGAAAUUUAAUUCUGUAAAUUUUACCUGAAACUAUACUCUUAUAUCUUCCUACCAUAAAAAUUUCAUAAUUUUUGGUCCAGCCAAUUAGUACAGUUUAUUAGUUAAAGUAUGCCCUGUUUCACCAAUUGACUGCCCUGACCUCUUGUCACUAAAAAUAAAAUUUCUCAUUGUAGGAUUGUCAUAUGAAGUUAUUACUUGUUUCUACAGAAAAUAGACUCAAUAAGGAUUCUAUACAUAUAAACUUCAACUCAUAACUAUAUUUGUACCAUUUUUAAUGAUUUUCUAAACUCAGAACAGGGGACUCCAAAAACAGUUUUGACCCCGUCUCACUAAAACUCUAAUAUCUCAGAAUAUAAAAUUCUUUUUCCUACAACGUUUCUUUCAUGUAAAAUUAGACUUGAUAAGCUUUAAUUCUAUAUAUCAUUCACUCUAUAAUUCCAUUUCUACUAUUUAUGGUGAUUUUUCACAUUCACGUCACUGCUGCUGCCAAAGAAACUGCUUCUUUGAAUUAGUUACCAUUUACACAUAUAUAACACCAAAACAUAAUCUUAACUAACCAUUUAUAUUAAAACAUAAUGACAUUUAUGCACAACCUAUGUACAUGCCUCCUUUACCAAAGGAAGAAUACAUCACCAAGUUUUGUUGAAGUCGGGAUUAAUCUGGAUGCUGAACCGGGACCUUUGACUUCUAUCGACCUGCGCACGGAAACAACCGUACGCUAAGUAAUUCAUACUCAGUGGUAUUACUAUAAUUCAAAUUAUAACAAUAAUAAAUAUGUAAUGCAUAAAUCUUAUAUACAAAUUUUAAUUCAAUAUUUCAACAAUAGCAAUCUAUCAAUCAAUAUCACAUAUCCACAAUUUGACUUUGAACAUAUCAUGAACCUUAGGUUCAUUUCUCAAUCUCAUUUCACAUUUCAAUUCACGAUUCAACUUUUUCAUUUCAUUUCAGUAGCUCAUUCGAUCAAGUCGUUCGGUUAUCAUUUCAUCAUUUACCCUAUUAACAAAACUCGGACUUUGGCGGAUAUAUGGAUCCAACCAAACACACCAGAAUGGCACCCAGUGCCUCAUCGGAUAGUUCGAAGCAAUAGUUGACACCCAGUGUCUCAUCGGCCAAGCCGAAGAAAGUUGGUACCCAGUACCUCAUCGAAUCUAUCCGAAGAAAUAUAGUGACACCCAGUGUCUCAUCGACUCGAGGUCGAAGUAUCCCUGAACUCUUCCAAUCCUAUGGCAUGCCAACUAUAUCCGACUCAGCCCGACUAGUUAAUAGGGUAUUUAAAUCACAUAUAAUCCCAAUUCAAUCACACUUUCUCACACUUUCAAUUCAAUCAUUUUUCCACCUUUCAAUCAAUAAUUAAUCCGCAAUUAACAUAUUUUCACAACUCAAUACAUUUCCAUUCAAUUUAAUAUCGGUCACUAUUCGAUUUAAAUUCAUUUCCCGCUUUCAAUCAACAAACAAUUCAAAUAUUAUUUCAUAUCAACUAUUCAAUUUAAUUCCCACUCAUAAUAAUAAUAAUAAUAAUAAUAAUAAUAAUAAUAAUACUUACCUCACAUUUCAUUUACUAGACACAUAAAUUAAAAUUUAACAUUUAAUAAUAAAUAACUUGAAUUAUAGUAAUACAAACCGUAAUUCUCCCGUUUUAGUCCUCGAUAACUUUCUCCUUUCCUUUUGAUGCCGAUGCCUCGGGUUCUUUGUUAGCUACGAAAAUAAUAAUUUAUACUAUUAAUUUCAGCACUACUUAUAAUAAAUAAUUGAGUUUCUAUUCAAUUUCUUCCUUAUUCUCAAUUUAAUCCUAACUAAAUUUAUUUACUUUUCUAAUUUAAUUCACACUCUAUUUCUAUUCAAAUUUCAUCCAAACUUAAAUUUAACUAUCAAAAUUUCAGCAUAUUUUCCUAAUUCCGAAUUUCCCCCACUUCAGUCCCUAAAACAUAAAACUUAUAGUUUCUUUUACAAUUUAAUCCCUUUAUUAAUUCUAACUUAAAACUCAUUCAAUUAAAUCCCUAAUUCAACAAUUUAUUCAACAUAAACUAUACUUUGAAAACCUAUGAACUUACAAAAUAUCAACUUAAUUCCAUCAAAACUUUGUUUUAAAGCUUUUAAAAUAUUAUAAUUAAGAGGAAAGGGCUAAUUUGACUUACCAAAUUAAACUUCAAGCUUCAAAACCCCUAUUUUCCCUAUUUUCUUUCUUUCUUUCUUUCCUUCCUUCUCUGCCCGUUUUGCUCUCUGUUUCUUUCUCUGUUUCGUCUCUUCUAUUCUGUUUCUUUUCUUUCUUUUUCUAUUCUUUCUUUUGUUUUAUGUAUAUAUAUAAUAUAAUAUAA